rnacentral:rRNA from 1 species
CCUACGGGAGGCUGCAGUAGGGAAUAUUGCUCAAUGGGGGAAACCCUGAAGCAGCAACGCCGCGUGGAGGAUGAAGCUUUUCGGAUUGUAAACCCCUUUUGUUAGAGAAGAUAAUGACGGUAUCUAACGAAUAAGCCCCGGCUAACUCGGUGCCAGCAGCCGCGGUAAUACGGAGGGUGCAAGCGUUACUCGGAAUCACUGGGCGGAAAGAGCGCGUAGGCGGGAUAGCAAGUCAGAUGUGAAAUCCUAGGGCUUAACCAUAGAACUGCAUUUGAAAAUGUUAUUCUGGAGUAUGGGAGAGGUAGGUGGAAUUCUUGGUGUAGGGGUAAAAUGCGUAGAGAUCAAGAGGAAUACUCAUUGCGAAGGCGACCUGCUAGAACGUAACUGACGCUGAUGCGCGAAAGCGUGGGGAGCAAACAGGAUUAGAUACCCGAGUAGUC